rnacentral:rRNA from 1 species
UCCUACGGGAGGCAGCAGUGGGGAAUAUUGCACAAUGGGCGAAAGCCUGAUGCAGCCAUGCCGCGUGUGUGAAGAAGGCCUUCGGGUUGUAAAGCACUUUCAGUCAGGAGGAAAGGGUGUGAGUUAAUACCUCACA